rnacentral:rRNA from 1 species
UACGGAGGGUGCAAGCGUUAUCCGGAUUCACUGGGUUUAAAGGGUGCGUAGGUGGGCUGGUAAGUCAGUGGUGAAAUCUCCAGGCUUAACUUGGAAACUGCCAUUGAUACUAUCAGUCUUGAAUACCGUGGAGGUCAGCGGAAUAUGUCAUGUAGCGGUGAAAUGCUUAGAUAUGACCUAGAACACCAAUUGCGAAGGCAGCUGGCUACACGAAUAUUGACACUGAUGCACGAAAGCGUGGGGAUCAAACAGG